rnacentral:rRNA from 1 species
CCCUUAGAUGUCCUGGGCCGCACGCGUGCUACACUGACGCCUACAGCGAGUACUUCCCAGCCCCGAGAGGUGGCUGGUAAUCAGCAAUAGGCGUCGUGAUGGGGAUAGAUCUUUGGAAUUAUGGAUCUUGAACGAGGAAUGCCUAGUAAGCGCAGGUCAUUAGCCUGCGUUGAUUAAGUCCCUGCCCUUUGUACACACCGCCCGUCGCUCCUACCGAUUUCGAGUGGUCCGGUGAAUCUUUCGGACUGCGCGCGGCUUCGUGCCGUGUCGCGGAAAGUCAGGUAAACCUUAUCACUUAGAGGAAGGAGAANUCGUAGCA